UAGUCCACGCCGUAAACGAUGAUCACUAAGUGUUCGGCCUUCGGGCUGAGUGCUCAAGCGAAAGUGAUAAGCAUCCCACCUGGGGAGUACGUUCGCAAGAAUGAAACUCAAAGGAAUUGACGGGGGCCCGCACAAGCGGUGGAGCAUGUGGUUUAAUUCGAUGAUACGCGAGGAACCUUACCAGGGCUUAAAUGUAAGCUGCAUUAGUUAGAGAUAGCUAUUUCUUCGGACUACUUACAAGGUGCUGCAUGGUUGUCGUCAGCUCGUGCCGUGAGGUGUCAGGUUAAGUCCUAUAACGAGCGCAACCCCUACCGUUAGUUGCCAGCAUGUUAUGAUGGGGACUCUAACGGGACUGCCGGUGCAAACCGCGAGGAAGGUGGGGAUGACGUCAAAUCAUCACGGCCCUUACGUCCUGGGCUACACACGUGCUACAAUGGUAUAUACAGAGGGCAGCUACCUGGCAACAGGAUGCGAAUCUUAAAAGUAUAUCUCAGUUCGGAUC
rnacentral:rRNA from 1 species